CAGGACUUCAAAAUGCUAUUUCUGGAGAAGGAGAUGUUGAAAAGAAAGUCCCAGGGUCCACCAGACGGGAUCCUUCCCUCAAUGGCACAGUGCUUGCUCCUGGUGCCGAAUUUCUGGCUGCAGACCUGUGGUGCUCUACCUGUAUUUCCUAAGUAGUGAAUUCUCAGUGUUCUGUUCCUCUUUCCUCACCCUCCACACACAUACGCAUUCACCCCUGUGUUUUAACUCCAGUCAGCUUCUC
rnacentral:lncRNA from 1 species